rnacentral:snRNA from 1 species
GAAUGUGAGGGCGAUCUGGCUGCGACAUCUGUCACCCCAUUGAUCGCCAGGGUUGAUUCGGCUGAUCUGGCUGGCUAGGCGGGUGUCCCCUUCCUCCCUCACCGCUCCAUGUGCGUCCCUCCCGAAGCUGCGCGCGCGGUCGAAGAGGACGACCUUCCCCGAUAGAGGAGGACCGUUCUUCGGUCAAGGGUAUACGAGUAGCUGCGCUCCCCUGCUAGAACCUCCAAACAAGCUCUCAAGGUUAAAUUUAGCUUGUAAAGAUUAUUCCACUAAUAACAUUUAAAAAUGUAUCAGUUCUUU